rnacentral:rRNA from 1 species
UACGUAGGGGGCAAGCGUUAUUCGGAAUUAUUGGGCGUAAAGCGCUCGUAGGCGGGAAAGCAAGUCCGUGUUGAAAGACCUCGGCUCAACUGAGGGACCGGCUCGGAUACUGUUUUUCUUGAGGCAUUCAGAGGGUGAUGGAAUUCCCGGUGUAGCGGUGAAAUGCGUAGAUAUCAGGAGGAACACCGGUGGCGAAGGCGCCACUCUGGGCCGGUACUGACGCUGAGGAGCGAAAGCGUGGGGAGCGAACAGG